UACGGAGGGUGCGAGCGUUGUCCGGAAUCACUGGGCGUAAAGGGCGCGUAGGCGGCCCGCGCAAGCGUGCGGUGAAAGCCCGGGGCUCAACCCCGGGUCGGCCGUGCGGACUGCGGGGCUCGAGCACUGUAGGGGCAGAUGGAAUUCCGGGUGUAGCGGUGGAAUGCGUAGAGAUCCGGAAGAACACCGGUGGCGAAGGCGGCCUGCUGGGCAGUAGCUGACACUGAGGCGCGACAGCGUGGGGAGCAAACAGG
rnacentral:rRNA from 1 species